GCUUCCACGAGGGCAGCCGGGUUGCCUUCCAAAAUGUACCUUGGUCCGGCCGGUUCACAAAGAAUAAAAAGACGUUUUUCAUCGUUUAAGCUUCGAGCAUGUGGUACGUGACUGGAUGGAAUUCCUGGAGAACUGUAUUAACAUGUUCCAAAAAGCUGAAUCCUGAGGAGGCACUAGUGGUAAAGAGCCUGGCUGCCAAUGCAGGAGACUUAAGAGAUGCAGCUUCAGUCCCUGGGUGGUGCAGAUCCCCUGGAGGAGGGCAUGGCAGCCCACUCCAGUAUUCUUGCCAGGAGAAUCCCAUGGACAGAGGAGUCUGGUGGACUACAGUCUAUAAGGUCGCACAGGGUUAGACAUGACUGAAGUGAGUUAGCAAGUAUGCACGCAUGAUCCUAUUGCCAGUUUCUAAUUCUUUUGGCUUUAUAUUGUGUAGGUCUUUUCCUUCUCUUGUGUUUCCUGCCUAGAGAAGUUCCUUUAGCAUUUGUUGUAAAGCUGUUUCGGUGGUUUUGAAUUCUUUUUACUUUUGCUUGUCUGAAAAGCUUUUGAUUUCUCCAUCAAAUUUGAAUGAACAUUUAUAUUUAC